rnacentral:rRNA from 1 species
CCUACGGGUGGCAGCAGUGAGGAAUAUUGGUCAAUGGGCGCAAGCCUGAACCAGCCAAGUCGCGUGAGGGAUGACGGUCCUAUGGAUCGUAAACCUCUUUUAUAGGGGAGUAAAGUGCGGGACGUGUCCCGUUUUGAAUGUACCUUAUGAAUAAGGAUCGGCUAACUCCGUGCCAGCAGCCGCGGUAAUACGGAGGAUCCGAGCGUUAUCCGGAUUUAUUGGGUUUAAAGGGUGCGUAGGCGGCCUGUUAAGUCAGCGGUGAAAGUUUGUGGCUCAACCAUAGAGUAGCCGUUGAAACUGGUAUGCUUGAGUAUGUGAGAGGUAGGCGGAAUGCGUGGUGUAGCGGUGAAAUGCUUAGAUAUCACGCAGAACCCCGAUUGCGAAGGCAGCCUGCC